GGCGGGGUGCCGGAGCGGUCGAACGGGGCGGCCUUGAAAGCCGUUGAGCCGCAAGGCUCCGUGGGUUCGAAUCCCACCCCCGCCG
rnacentral:tRNA from 1 species